rnacentral:rRNA from 1 species
GAUGAACGCUGGCGGCGUGCCUAAUACAUGCAAGUCGAGCGAACAGAUAAGGAGCUUGCUCCUUUGACGUUAGCGGCGGACGGGUGAGUAACACGUGGGUAACCUACCUAUAAGACUGGGAUAACUUCGGGAAACCGGAGCUAAUACCGGAUAACAUUUGGAACCGCAUGGUUCUAAAGUGAAAGAUGGUUUUGCUAUCACUUAUAGAUGGACCCGCGCCGUAUUAGCUAGUUGGUAAGGUAACGGCUUACCAAGGCAACGAUACGUAGCCGACCUGAGAGGGUGAUCGGCCACACUGGAACUGAGACACGGUCCAGACUCCUACGGGAGGCGGCAGUAGGGAAUCUUCCGCAAAGGGCGAAAGCCUGACGGAGCAACGCCGCGUGAGUGAUGAAGGGUUUCGGCUCGUAAAACUCUGUUAUUAGGGAAGAACAAAUGUGUAAGUAACUGUGCACGUCUUGACGGUACCUAAUCAGAAAGCCACGGCUAACUACGUG